rnacentral:rRNA from 1 species
GAACUAAGAGAGACAUCUCCAAGCCACAGAACAUCUGACCAUUGAGAUCCGGCCAUAGCCGAUCAACGGACCAAGUUACCCUAGGGAUAACAGCGCAAUCCCCUUCAAGAGUCCAUAUCGACAAGGGGGUUUACGACCUCGAUGUUGGAUCAGGACAUCCUACUGGNGCAGCCGCUAUUAAGGGUUCGUUUGUUCAACGAUUAAAGU